rnacentral:rRNA from 1 species
GUGACCUCGGAUCAGGUAGAAUGCCAAC